UUUGGAGGGCAAGUCUGGUGCCAGCAGCCGCGGUAAUUCCAGCUCCAAUAGCGUAUAUUAAAGUUGUUGCAGUUAAAAAGCUCGUAGUUGAAUUUCGAGAUCAAUAUGUUGGUCGUGCUUAUGUGCGUACUGGCAUUAUUGAUUUCUCCCUUCUGAUGAACCAUGAUGCCAUUAAUUUGGUGUUAUGGGGAAUCAGGACUGUUACUUUGAAAAAAUUAGAGUG
rnacentral:rRNA from 1 species